rnacentral:rRNA from 1 species
AACCCCUGCAUCCAGUUGCCAUCGGGCGAGCCGGGCACUCUGGAGGGACUGCCGGCGACAAGCCGGAGGAAGGUGGGGAUGACGUCAAGUCAUCAUGGCCCUUAUGUCCAGGGCGACACACGUGCUACAAUGGCCGGCACAGCGGGAAGCGGAGGGGCGGACCCUCGAGCGGAUCCCUUGAAAGCCGGUCCCAGUUCGGAUUGCAGUCUGCAACUCGACUGCAUGAAGUUGGAAUCGCUAGUAAUCGCGGAUCAGCCAAGCCGCGGUGAAUACGUUCCCGGGCCUU